AUUUAUUUAGUAUAUAAAGUACAAUUAACUUCCAAUUAAUUAGUUUGAUCACUUCAAAAUAAAUA
rnacentral:tRNA from 1 species